GUGCAACCUUCGCUCACUACAAUCUCUUGGUUUCAAGCAAUCCUCCUGGCUUAGCUUCCCCAGUAGCUGGGAUUACAGGCGCAGGCCACCGCACCCCGCUAAUUUUGUAUAUUUAGUAGUGACAGGGUUUUACUAUGUUGGCAGGCUGGUCUGGAACUCCUGACCUGAGAUGAUCCGCCCACCUUGGCCUCCCAAAGUGCUGGGAUUACAGGCAUGAGCCACUGCGUCCUGCCAGUAGAGCAGUGUUUACUUUGAAUGAAAAACAAUGACCUGUAAUUUUUUUUCUAGAAUUGACAUAAUACAAAACAAAUUGCUCCGGACCCGGUAUCGUGUACUUUUAUUUUUUUAACCGCAGCUCCCUUCCGCAGGCUGAACACCUUAGGGACCAGCAACCAGAUGGUGUCGUUUGCAGUGAAGAUCGAACUCGAGUUGUAGCCGAAUUGGAGAGGAGAGAGUGACAUGUGCGCCCCCUUCCUGCGGUCGGUAGAUGCACCAUGGGAAGCUCGAGGACCCACACUUGGUGAUCAGGCUGCUCCCAUGAAAGGUCAAGAGAAUAUGGUUCCCCUUGGUGCUGGCCACAGUGGAAGACCAGGCCCCACCCAGCCUCACUUCAGAGGCAGGAACAGCAAGGAGCACGGGACAGGGGGAUCCACUCUGUGUUGCAUCAAAGGUUUGUUUUGUGUUUUGUUUUUAAUUUUGAGAUGAAUAAUUCAGUGGUUAUGCCAAGGUUGAAAUAUUUUUCUGUUUUCAGUAAGAUGUGAGAAAAGGAAAUGAAUUUUAAUGAAAUGUUUUGGUUUACUUUAUCUGAGGCUUUCAGUGUAAUGGGAUUCCCACGCCCUAAACAGAUGUCAGCUGUUUUAUCCUCUUGCUUGCAAAAGGCAACAGAGAGCCGGGGUGCUCCCCUGCUUAGCCCUCUUGCACCCACCUUCCCCAUUUUCCAGAUGGGCAGGACUACCUGUGAGCGCAG
rnacentral:lncRNA from 13 species